rnacentral:rRNA from 1 species
UACGUAGGGGGCAAGCGUUGUCCGGAAUCAUUGGGCGUAAAGCGCACGUAGGCGGCUUUGUAAGUUAGAGGUGAAAGCCUGGAGCUCAACUCCAGAAUUGCCUUUAAGACUGCAUCGCUCGAAUCCAGGAGAGGUGAGUGGAAUUCCGAGUGUAGAGGUGAAAUUCGUAGAUAUUAGGAAGAACACCAGUGGCGAAGGCGGCUCACUGGACUGGUAUUGACGCUGAGGUGCGAAAGCGUGGGGAGCAAACAGG